AAUGAACGUUGGCGGCGUGGAUUAGGCAUGCAAGUCGCGCGAGAACUGUAGCAAUACAGGGAAAGCGGCGUAAGGGACAGUAAUACCUAGAAACGUACCCCCGGGUCUGGGAUAGCGGCGGGAAACUGCCGGUAAUACCAGAUAACGUCUCCGGACCAAAGGUGUGAUUCCACCUGGGGAGCGGUCUAGGCCCUAUUAGCUUGUUGGUGGGGUAACGGCCUACCAAGGCAAAGAUGGGUAGCAGGGGUGAGAGCACGACCUGCGUCGCUGGGACUGAGACACUGCCCAGACACCUACGGGUGUCUGCAGUCGAGAAUCUUCGGCAAUGGGCGCAAGCCUGACCGAGCGACGCCGCGUGCGGGAUGAAGGCCUUCGGGUUGUAAACCGCUGUCGAAGGGGAUGAAAUUCCGGUGGGUUCUCUUGCCGGAUUGACAGAUCCUUGGAGGAAGGACGGGCUAAGUUCGUGCCAGCCGCCGCGGUAAAAC
rnacentral:rRNA from 1 species